rnacentral:rRNA from 1 species
GAUGAACGCUGGCGGCGUGCCUAAUACAUGCAAGUCGAGCGAACAGACGGGGAGCUUGCUCCUCUGACGUUAGCGGCGGACGGGUGAGUAACACGUGGAUAACCUACCUAUAAGACUGGGAUAACUUCGGGAAACCGGAGCUAAUACCGGAUAAUAUAUUGAACCGCAUGGUUCAAUAGUGAAAGACGGUUUUGCUGUCACUUAUAGAUGGAUCCGCGCCGCAUUAGCUAGUUGUUAAGGUAACGGCUUACCAAGGCAACGAUGCGUAGCCGACCUGAGAGGGUGAUCGGCCACACUGGAACUGAGACACGGUCCAGACUCCUACGGGAGGCAGCAGUAGGGAAUCUUCCGCAAUGGGCGAAAGCCUGACGGAGCAACGCCGCGUGAGUGAUGAAGGUCUUCGGAUCGUAAAACUCUGUUAUUAGGGAAGAACAAAUGUGUAAGUAACUAUGCACGUAUUGACGGUACCUAAUCAGAAAGCCACGGCUAACUACGUG